CCAUGGUGUUUCUUUGAGGGAUGGUGGAAAUGUUCUGAAAUGUUAAAGACGUCCAGCUGUGUGAGACGGCCCCUCUGAGCAGCCCUGCCUGGUGGUGCCACGCUGCCGCCCCCUUGAGGACGUGCAGGUCACAGGGUCAGCCUGUGCUGGGUUAUGUUCAGUAGACUUCUAGGCAGGCAGCAUUUUAGUUCUUAACAGUGAACUAAGUUUAUAUCCUCUGCCGUUAGCUUUUCUGAUUUCACAGGGUAAUCUCUCCAAAAUGUGUUAAAUUCAAGUACAUUUUACUUUAUUUGUCUUAUUUUUAACAGGAUAGGAAAAACUUGUUGGAGACCCGAUUGCACAUCACUGGCAGAGAACUGAGGUCCAAAAUAGCUGAAACCUUUGGACUUCAAGAAAAUUAUAUCAAAAUUGUCAUAAAUAAGAAGCAACUACAACUAGGGAAAACCCUUGAAGAACAAGGCGUGGCUCACAAUGUGAAAGCGAUGGUGCUUGAACUAAAACAGUCUGAAGAGGAUGCGAGGAAAAACUUCCAGUUAGAGGAAGAGGAGCAAAAUGAGGCCAAACUCAAAGAAAAACAAAUUCAGAGGACCAAGAGAGGACUAGAAAUACUGGCAAAGAGAGCAGCAGAGACAGUGGUGGAUCCAGAAAUGACACCGUACUUAGACAUAGCUAACCAGACAGGCAGAUCAAUCAGAAUUCCCCCAUCAGAAAGAAAAGCCCUUAUGUUAGCUAUGGGAUAUCAUGAGAAGGGCAGAGCUUUCCUGAAAAGAAAAGAAUAUGGAAUAGCCUUGCCAUGUCUGUUGGACGCUGACAAAUAUUUCUGGUAGGCGCUUUUGUACUUGGUGAACACCAGCUUUAAGGAAGAUGGCCC
rnacentral:sRNA from 1 species